GACGAACGCUGGCGGCGUGCCUAAUACAUGCAAGUCGAGCGGACCGACCAGGAGCUUGCUCUUGUUCGGUUAGCGGCGGACGGGUGAGUAACACGUGGGUAACCUGCCCGUAAGACCGGGAUAACUCCGGGAAACCGGAGCUAAUACCGGAUAACACCGAAGACCGCAUGGUCUUUGGUUGAAAGGCGGCUUCGGCUGCCACUUACGGAUGGGCCCGCGGCGCAUUAGCUAGUUGGGGAGGUAACGGCUCACCCAGGCGACGAUGCGUAGCCGGCCGGCGGGGGUGACUGGCCGCACUGGGACGGAGACAGGGCCCAGACGCCUACGGGAGGCAGCAGGAGGGAUUCUUCCGGAAGGGGCGAAAGUCUGACGGAGCGAGGCGGCGUGAGCGAAGAAGGUCGUCGGAUCGGAAAGCUCUGUUGUUAGGGAAGAAGAAGCGUCGUUCGAACAGGGAGGCGGGGUGACGGUACCUAACGAGAAAGCCCCGGCUAACUACGUG
rnacentral:rRNA from 1 species